GCAGCUGGAGGAGGGAGGGAGAGCAGGCGGGACUCCCCCGCACCCCCACCCGUGACACCUCCAAGCAUCACGGUUGUUGGACUCCUACCUUGAGAGAGAACUUCAGGCUGUGAACUCCAGGACCAUGGCCCUGAGGGCACUGUUAGCCUCGACUGUCCCUGCCAAGCCUCCCCUGGGGCCUCACCCCACCCUAGCCCAUGGCCCAGGACACCGUUCCAGCUCAGCCCAGGCCAUUAGUCUCUGCCCCAGUGACACCACAGUUGUGCCUGAUCCCAUCCCUGUCUCUGAGCCCAUGUUCUGCUGCUUCUGACUGAGCCUUCUGGAUGGACCCCGCAUCUGGUUUAUCUUCUCAUAUUGCCCUCCUCAGCUCCCAGCUCCUCCUCCCUUGUGGAGCAGCUCUGUGCUUGCUGCUCCCUGACAUCCAGUUUGUCACAGGUGCCUCCUGACAGCCCAGUUAGUUGUGUAAAGACAGCACAAAUUGCAGUUCCUUGAGGAAACUAAAACUUAAGCCAUCAGGUUUACCUGACACCUUGCUCCUUGGUGAAGUCACUCAUGACAUUGGUACCACUGAUCUGCUUUCAAAUUCAAACUGGGUCACAUGAGGCCACUUUCAGAAGCACGUGCACCUGUACUUUUGCAAACUUAGCCUUACAAUUGUAACUCUCCUAACUGUGUCACCACGGAGUCAAAACAGAGAAAGAACAACAUGGACACCCACCACAAAUCUGUCUAACGGGAGCAACUACUCCUGACGCAUAUCUGUUGUUGCUGCCACUCCUAUCCUGGAAGCUGACUGCGGGAAAGCCUGGGGGUUCGUUGCAGGGGGAAAUUUAUGGGAUCAUGUGGUUGUCUACUGCUCUAGGUUGCAGCACUCAUUUAUAUACAUUGCCUGACAUUUUCCACCCUCUCCCAAUGAAGGGCAUAUCUAGGUCAGGAACUGACUGACUUGAGGUGUUCUGAGGAUCUCUGGUGAUUGAAGUGGUCACAGAAAAGAGUUUAAACCUGCAUAAAUCACAGCCACCUUCCUAAGUCCCCUUUAUUGCUUCAACUUGGAGGCACUAGAUUUAAAGCUAUCUGCCUCUUGUACUUUACUGCACUAUUUGUGCCAAGCACAAGCUGCAGAUGACUUGUGGAGAGCCAAAUUAAAUAACUAUGUUUGAGGCAGCUAAAGAUGAAAAUAUUUUAAACCUUGCAAUGGAAGCGGCUCUCCCAGAACAUAAGAGCCAGAUAAUACUCGUGCCUCAAAACCAUCAUGCCUCAACUAACCACCAGACAUGUCAAUAUCACGAGUUGUUCCUAUAGCACAAGACCACUCCCAUGUAGAAAAACACUCCUCUUCUUCCAGUCAAGAGUCACUUGUGGAGAUUCCUCUGAAAUUGAAACGUUAGCAGUAGAUAGAUCAUCACGGAAAGGACGCAGUGCUUCAGCAAAUGCAAGUGUCAGCAGCUACAUGCUCAUGCAAGUGGGGACAAAACCAGCUCUCAAGUAAUUCAAACAUCCUGGGCUGCCUGCUGGGAAGAACAGUGGUCCUGUGCUUCUAGCAGGAUCUUAUAGCUAAUUAUAACUCAGUUUUGGGAGCACUACAGAAGGUGCCCAGAUGAAUAUUGUCCAUAUGUCCUGGGCACAUGCUAUGCCCAGUCUUACCCUGCUAUCUUGGAGUGGGACUCCUGGAAAAUCGUUGCUCUGCUCACUCAACCUUCUGCACACCGUAAGUAAAUAACAGCUCCCAUCUUUUAUUUCUUGGCCAAAUGAAAGCUGUAAUGCAUAGUUUGUAAGACCAGGAGUACUGGUUACAGAACAUUUGCUGCCUUUCCUCCCAAGAAUCCUAGAAUUAUAGAAUAUCUCAAGGUGGAAGUGACCCAGAAGGAUCAUGGCAACUCCCUGCUCCUCCCAGGACUACCUAAAACUAAACCAUAUGAAUAACAAAAUGGUCCAGACACUCCUUGAACUCUGACAGGCUUCGUGCCAUGACCACUUCCCUGGGCAGUCUGUUCCAGUGACUGCCCGACCUCUCAGUGAAGAACCUUUUCCUAACAACCAAUCUGAACUUCCUCUGAUGCAGCUUCACACCCUUUCUUCAUGUCCUACCACUGGUCACCAGAGAGCGGAGAUCAGCACCUCCCCCGUCCCUGUCCCCCCUUGAGGAAGCUGUAGGCUGCCAUGAGGUCCCCCUCAGCCUUCUCUUCUCCAGGCUGAACAAGCCAAGUGACUUCAGCUGCUCCACAGAUCCUCUCCCAAAACUAUUACUGGAAUUAUAGCUGAUGGAGAAAGUUCUGGAGGAAGUGCAGCUUUCCAUAAGGUAGAGAGAUUGGGAGACAUCUCAUUUUGCUAGCCAAAAUCACUCUUUAAUAGAUAAUGUGAAGGAAGUCAGAACAACAGAUUUACUCAGAAUCUGACUGUCAUAGCAAGAAGAGAGGCAUUUUUUUUUUUUUGCAAUUAAAAAUAUUCAGUCUUUCCUAAAAUGGUUGUUAGCCCUGCUAUUAAAAGUGUAUUGUACGUUACAAGAACAUGGUGUUUAUAGUCAGUCCCUCAACAUCUUUAGAAUUUUACUCCAACUAACAGCCACCAAAAUGAAAUGAGAUCUGAGCAAGGCCAUAAUAGUACAUUCAUUAGUAGAACAGGAGUCUAUUUGGAAAGCGUAAAACAUCUGAGAUUUCUUAAUUAUGUUUAAAAAUUGGAACAUAAUGUGUUAUUUUUGUUGACAUUUGUUGUGCUUCUAGUGAACAAAUAUGCUGGAAGGAUACUAACAGGAAAUUCUGUUUGCAAGAUAAGCAGCUGUUAGCCCCCAAAGCUUCAGAAGUUCAUAGGGGCCAAAAAAAAGGUCUUUCUGUGUCUCACAUAAUGAAUAGUCAGCAUUCCACAUCAGCCAAAGGAAAUGCUUUGGGGGUAUUUUUUACAGAUGCAAUCAAAUCUUGUGUUUGUGUGAAGAAGGACAGAGCUUGCUAUUUGUCUGUGGAAUAACAGUUUCAAAGGUUAUGUUUCACCACAAAAAUCUUGAACUGUUGUCAUUCCAAAAUGCUUCAGAACUGGCCUAUUUUGUAACUUACUGUUUAAUUUCUGGAAAGAGACUUGGUCCAGAACAUGUCAUUGUUUUCAAAUUGGAAACCCUCAUUAUUUCAAUGCACGUUUCUUGAAAAGUGUUCUGGUCUGGUUUAUAACCAUCUACAAAGCAGCUAACUGAGAACUGCUUCAGUCUUUUGCUCUUCUGUUGUGGCCCACAGAUGCAACAGAUUUCAAGUAAACUCACAAAGGAAAGAGUAACAAAAGAACACCAGUAGCAGACCAUGUGAUCCAUUAGUAAGAUCGAAGAUCAUAAAAUGGGUAUGUCCUCAUCAAAUUUCUAAGUGCUAUGUAGUGAGAUACAUCUUCAGCUGAUGAAUAUGGCAUAACCUCAUUUAUUACUAUGCUAACUUACAUCUACCAAAGUGGCGGACCUGGUGAGUCACUGGUAAUUCUGGGAAAAUUCCAUGCUUCUUUGGAAAUGCUUGUUCUUGGAAAAGUAGUGUUGGAUUUUUAUACAUAAAGCAUGUUCUAUGACUGUCCUUCAUAGCAAGCAAGUAGUAAAUUUAACUUUAUACAUUAUUAUUUCAUAUAAAAAUGUUGAAAUAAAAGUGAAAAUUGUGCAAGUUACUGCAUGUUCUGUAUGAUCUAUUUGUAGAAGAAGGGUGAUGAAACUUCAGAGCUCUGAAUUCCUUCCAAUGGAAAAAACAAGCUCUGAGGAGCUUGGCAUUCAUGAAAUCUUAAUCCAAAAGGGUCAGAGAAGUAGUAAGCUAUGAUCCUUGCAGGGAGAUUGACAUAGUGACUUCAAACCCUUCACAAGUCCAGUGACAGAAAACACGGAAGGCCUUCAAUCAAGCUGCUCUUUAACUGUCUUCAACAUGUAAGAGAUAUAUUACAAUGUUUGUGUUCUGCUAAACUUUGGCAGUAUAACAGCGCAGUCUGGCUCCUUUUCUGUGUUUUCUCUCCCUGCUUUAGGGUAGAAUACAGUUUUACUUGUGGGGUACAAGAAAUGUAUAGUUAGAUGCCUCUAUGACAAAAAAAAAAAAGUAACUGUGCUGUGACGAGAACUCCACAAGUUCUCAGCAAACGCAGGGUGGAUUUGUUUUCUCAAGAAAAUACAAUGGCCCUAACUGCAAUUAUAUAAAAGCAUUGGGUUAUUCAGUUUCAGAGUGAUGAAGUAUAGUAGGAAACAGCCUAGACAAGACAGAAUAUGUACAAAAUACAACACUAAGUGCUUGCAUAAAAACUGUGAUUGGUAAACUGGAAAUGUCCUUAAGAGUUAUUGAGCAACAGAGCAGAGGACCACACAGCAGCUCUGACUGUGUUGCAUACAUGGACCAGGGCUCUUUUUGCAUUGAGCUUGUUUUGGGCCAUGACAAUUCCAAACUGACAGGCAUUCAAGUAUUCAGCUGUCUCAGACCAGAACAGAUCAAGUAGGUCUAGCCUUUUCCUCUGAUUUCUCCAUCACUAUGUUUCCUCAGAAGGUGCAGGUGUAACUGAUGUUGGAAAUGACACUAUGAAAUGGGAAUAAGCAAUUUUUCAGGAACAUCCUGGUCUCAACAUGACAAAUGAUGCUUUUUUUCCCCUGUAUCUAGCAUGUUGUUUUCUUAGUAAUGCCUGAAGUGCACAGAAGUAGAAAUAAGUUGUGACAUUUAUAUACACUGAUUCCUGUCCUCACAUUUGAAAAUGUUUUCUCUGGAAAGAGUUGAAUAGUUUUAUUUUCUUCUGCUGCUGUUUUGGUUUUAG